AACAUUGUAAUUUACUGUAAAGGGCAGAACACCACCUGACCAUCACCCCUCGUUCUGGAUCGUUCAGCCACUCCCGAGCGACACUUCGCUCAUUUCUCUCUGCCACGUAUGUCUCGAGAACCCUGCUUCUUCCGGUCACUCCACGUCUCGAGGCCCCAGUGAAUACCUAACCGAGUCUACCUCGAGCCUCACGAACACCCAGACGGCAGAGAACUUCCUGAACUCUCCAAGGACAGGCCUCUUCUCUGCUGCUCUGGCUUCAUCCUCUACAUGUUUACCGGCGCCGUUAACGAGUCUGCCUCCAGUGUUUGUGAGGUUAGUGUUCCUCUGGCCUUCAUUCCCCUCUGGAGGGGACUUAUGGUGAGAGCCGGGUGGUGCGCAAGGUAUCCCUUUUGUUAUCAUAUUGUGUAUAACUGUGUUUUUGUAUGUCUAGUAGACUUGGAACUACUCGAGGUUGUUUAUUAUCGCCCCUACCGGGUUAAGUGUCGUUCAUCCUGGGCCUAGUUUAGAGGUUGCAGGCUGGUGAUGGCGUUUCGCACCUCGCCCCCGUAACAAAUUGACUAAACUAGUUAGUUAUUACUUGCAUUUAGACGAUCUCGCCAGGAUAUUGAGCUACUUAGACUCUUUGGGGUGUUGGAUGUGUUAGUGCUGAGUUGUUCCAACUCCUACUGUUUCACCAUUUUUUUUUUGUGCCGAAGUGUUUCAGUGGUUUAAUGUUUUUCCUUCUCGGACGUAUUUUAGUGUAGUUUUACGUUCGGCCUCGGUGAAUUGAGCGAGAUUAGGUGCAGACCCUGUGUCAUUAAUCUACACUUGGCUAAAUGCAGGUUCAGUGCCUUUUAACCACUCCUCGUUCUCUUGAACGAGCAGCCGCUAAUCCGGGGGAUCUAGUCUGUUUCACAGUACCUUACUGUGGUUUGGGCAUUAGAGUAUUUUGGCGUCUUCGUAGCCUAGACGUAAUUGUAAAGUAGCCAUUGCUCCUACAGAGGAAUAGAAUAUGCUAAAUGUGUGCUUGCCAGUCAAUGCUUCUGUACAUUGCUUCUGUACAUAUACUUAUUUAAAGUGUCCUUGUGUGAGUGUCCUUGUGUGGGGUUCAUUUGUAACUACUUGUGUAGUUACAAGUGCUUGGCUGUAUGUGGUGCGAGAGAUUAAGUAAUUUCUGUCUACCUGUGAGAUAUGAUACUUUUAGGUGUGGUUGUGCACAUGUACCUGUGAGAUAUGAUGCACUUUUGGGUGUGGUUGUGCACUUGAUUCAUACUUUUGGGUGUUGUGCACAUGUACCUGUGAGAUAUGAUGCACUUUUGGGUGUGGUUGUGCACUUGAUUGAUUUUCUAUCAACUUGUGAGGUAUUUUAUCUAUUUGGGUGUUUGUGCACUUCAUCAAUUUUCCUACCCUUGUGGUUUAUUUUGUAAAUGCAUAAUUCAUGUGUGCGUGAGAAUUAUUUUGAGUUUCCAUGGUUGACUCACGGGUGUAUCAAGGGGGUUUCCCUGUCUCGGUUUUUAGUCUGCGUUGUUGGGUUUCUUAGUUUUGGUUCUAUUAUGUCUAGAUGUCUACUUUAGCUGGGCUUACAGAACAAGCAGUAAAGCUCGGCCUCCAACAAGCUUUCCAACGGGAGUAAGGAACGGUCGUGUGAAGAACGAGAACGAGAACGGGAGCGUGAGGAACUGAACGGGACGAACGUGAGAAGGAACGGGAAUUUCACUUGUCUAGUUCAAGCUUAGUUUAGAGUCUGGAGCACGUUCUACCCAAUGUCCCAAUGUUGGCGUGCAAGGACCGAAGUUUCCAGCUUGCCAAGGGGUGAUAUCGUCGCCUACCUGACCAGAUUUGAGCGUAUUGCCACGCUCUUAACGAUCAACGAGGAGGGUCUUGCUGUUAAACUUGGGAGUCUACUGACAGGUAAACCUGCUGACCUCUGUUUCACCUUUUAGCACUGAUACCAUAAGUGACUUCCCUCUCCUAAAAAGGGCUCUCCUGACUGGUUUUGACUCCAGAGCGGUACCGGCUAGACUUCAGGGCCUCAACAUCUAUUGAAAAGGGCUGAGGCCAUUAACGCUAAACCGGACCAAAGAAGCUACAUCAGGAUGGAGUGUUAAAACUGUGGGGAAGAAGGGCAUGUAAGGUGUAAGAAGGGCAUGUAAGGUGUAAAUGUCCAAAGAAUCCCAGAGCCUUUAAAAGAACCACAGGACAAAUGCAAGGUAGGAUUUUAUAUGGAUGAGCGGUCUCUCUGAUUAUGCAGUUGCUGGCACGAUCAACGGCUCCUGGGCUACUACUAUUGUCAGACACCGGCUACAACUGCGUGAUCGUCUCUGAGAAGGUAGUGCCUGAUGCUGACGUCUCUCAGCGACCUAUGGUAGUAGUAGAGGACUAUCUUGGACGGGAAGAUAUUUUUCCAACCAUUAGGUGCUAUAUAAGAUGACCAUAUUUUGAGGGUUGGAUUGAUAAUGCUAUCCUAGCUCCUACGAAGUGCGGUUGUCCUCAUUGGCAACAUCUCGGGAGCUCGUAGUACUGAUGAUAGCUAAGCACUAUCCUCCUCGCUCCAAACCUCGGUCAGUGAUUUGGCUAUGCUUCCGUCUUCUCUGCCCACUGCCUCCUCCUUCUCUUCCAGCCUCAGAAGGAGCCGCCAUUAAUGCGAGCAUGUGCUGUGGAAACCUGCAGUAGCAGAAUGAAGUGUGUUCAUCCUCUAGUUUUGCCAGAAUUGCAACCCUUGGACAUGACUCCGGAGCCUUUCGCUCGUCUUCAAGUAGUGUCUGUCUCGGAAAUCUUAGUUAGUUACCAUGGGUGAAGAGGAGCGGACAAAGGACGGCUCUACUUCCUGGUAUCUUCGCUGUACCGGACUUCUCUACCGGAUGUGUUUGACCUCGAAACAUCCAGCAAAGGUAUCCAGCCACUUCUACUGGCCUGGGAUGGGUGCGGAUAUUGGACUUCUGUCGAUCCUGUGCUGUCUGUCAACGAAUGUCUGCCAAAGGAAGAGUCCGACCAGCACCUCUCCAUCCUCUUCUAAUUAUAACGGAACCUUUUUCUAGAGUGGCGGUCGAUUUGGUUGGACCACUGUCUCCCCCAUCCACAGAAGGCCACAGGUACAUCCUCGCUUUAAUCGACUACGCCACUGCAUUCCCAGAAGCAGUGCCACUGAAGGAAAUGACUCCAUCUCCGUUGCUGAGGCCUUACACUCCAUCUUUGCUAGAGUUGGUAUACCACGAUAAGUUCUCGCUGAUCAAGGUACCCAAUUUACAUCUCGAUUAAUGCAAGAACUUCAUAAGUUGUUAGGAGUCAAGCCUUUAUUUACAACUCCAUUUCGUCCUAGCACUAAUGGUCGCAUUGAACGUCUACACGCACCACUUAAAGCUUCCCUACGAAAGCUCUGUAAGGACCGCCCUCGAGUAGCAUAGAUACUUGCUUCCUACAUUAUUUGCCCUCGGAUACCAGCGAUAGAACCUGUUUCUCUGCCUUCGAACUUCUCUAUGGAAGGAAUGUUUGGGGACCUCUCUCCGCCCUUAGAUCUCUGGGAGGACCGGAACCUGACAUCCAGUCAAGAUAUACAGUAAGAGGUAAGGUUGAUUACCUAAUUGAUUGUCCCCAAGGUCCGAGAUUGUACCACGUCAACCUCUUGAAACGUUACAUCCGUUGUGCUAGUACCAGGUUUGCUGAAGUCUUGGGACGAAGUGCAAACUCCUGAAGAGGAAAUGCCCGAAGAGGAAGAGCAUGUCCCGGAGAACAGCCACCUUAUUUGUGAAGACGACCCGAGGACGAGUGCUAUUUAUUACCAGUGACACCUGAUGGCUGCUCUGACAAGGAUAGAUGAUCCAGGAUCAACCGGAAUUUAAUUUGUCAGAGUUUGACGAUGUUCUUGGGUGUACUUCCUUUGUUGAACAUGUCUUAACUACCACUGGCCGCAUCAGCACCAAGAUUUACUUUGUCCCUGUCCAUCUAAAACGUUUCUUUGAACAGGAAGUCUGAUGGUCUUCUCAACAUUGUUCGCCGGUCGUGAUGGUGCCUAAGCCAGGCAACACUUAUCGCAUGGCCAUUGACUACCGUCAACUCAACAGCUAAAGUCUUCCAGGCUGAGCCCAGCUGUAACAUUGAGGAGGUUAUGUACAAGUUUUCAGGUUCAAGGUUUUUCAGAGUUGGAUCUCUGCAAGCCUUGUUACGAAGUCCCUUUGACAGAGCCAUGCUGCUGACAGCCUUCCCAAUCCACUUGGGCCUAAUGGAGUUCACCAGACUGUCUUUCGGCCUGGUCACUGCUUGUGCCACCUAUAUCAAGCUCAUGUGCAUUGUUCUGUUAUUGCAAACGUGUCCUUUUAUUUUGAUAAUGUUUUUAUAUACUCUUCAGACUGGGGCCCUGCAUUUAAAGACCCUUCAUACUGUGCUGAACAGGAUCAGGACCCAUGGACUUGCGCUCAAAAUCUCCAAGUGCCAUUUUGGAUUCCCUGGACUGGACUGGCCUCUCCUCUGCUGUCCUGGCUUCACCCUCUACCUGCUUCCUGGCGCCGUCAAUGAGUCUGCCUCCAGUGUUGGUGAGAUUAGUGUUCCUCUGGCCCUCACUUGCUCUGGAGGGAUACUCGUGGUGAGAGCUGGGUGGUGUGCAAAGUAUCCCUUUUGUUGUUGUUAUAUUGUGUAUACCUAUGUGUUUUUGCAAGUCUAGUAAACUUGGAACCAUU